GUGACCCCAGAAGCCUACAGACGGCGAUUUAGGGAAACCUACAAGCAGGUUGGUGACUCUUAUGUAGAAUGGGCCUGCAGAGUUCAUCGUACCGCAGCCCACUGGAUGGCAGGAUGCCAAGCGGUAACUGGGGAGGAGGUGCUGCAGGUGUUCUUGCUGGAACAUUGCUUUGACCGUUUGCCUACCGGAGUCCGGGAGUGGGUCAGAGAUAGAAAACCCUCUACCCUACCCGAGGUGGC